GCAACCAUUGUGCACCCAGAACGAGCCCCACCCGACCCCUAGGCCCUGGGCUUUUUUUAUGUGUCAUACUGGGUGCAAUAUAGAUGGGUUUCCACACCUAUCCGCGGGCUAUCAUCGGCCUAAAUAGGUUGCACAAGAUCGAAGAAGCAAAACUAGUCCAUGGGAAGAAAAGCAUUGGGACGAAAAUAAAAACUGAGUCUGGGCAUCUCCGAGCGGUUCUUGUGGGAGAAAACUUGAUAUACUCAGAGUGAGGCCUCCUAGUAGUUAUCUGUGAAUUUUCGGGACGUUUCUCACAUGGUUAAAAAUCGGCCGAUUUUCGGUAUGGUAAAGCCUUGGCCAUUUUUGGACCGUUUUUUGGCGCAACCUUGUGCACCCCGAACGAGCCCCACCCGACCCCUAGGCCUGGGCUUUUUUUAUGUGUCAUACUGGUGCAAUAUAGAUGGGUUUCCACACCUAUCCGCGGGCUAUCAUCGGCCUAAAUAGGUUGCACAAGAUCGAAGAAGCACAACUAGUCCAUGGGAAGAAAAGCAUUGGGACGAAAAUAAAAACUGAGUCCGGGCAUUUUCGAGCGGUUCGUGUGGGAAAAAACCUUGAUAUUACUCAGAGUGAGGCCUCCUAGUAGUUAUAUGUGAAUUUUCGGGACGGUUCUCACAUGGUUAAAAAUCGGCCGAUUUUCGGUAUGGUAAAGCCUUGGCCAUUUUUGGACCGUUUUUUGCGCAACCGUUGUGCACCCCGAACGAGCCCCACCCGACCCCUAGGCCCUGGGCUUUUUUAUGUGUCAUAAUGGGUGCAAUAUAGAUGGGUUUCCACACCUAUCCGCGGGCUAUCAUCGGCCUAAAUAGGUUGCACAAGAUCAAAGAAACAAAACUAGUCCAUGGGAAGAAAAGCAUUGGGACGAAAAUAAAAACUGAGUCUGGGCAUCUCCGAGCGGUUCUUGUGGGAGAAAACUUUAAUAUUACUCAGAGUGAGGCCUCCUAGUAGUUAUCUGUGAAUUUUCGGGACGUUUCUCACAUGGUUAAAAAUCGGCCGAUUUUCGGUAUGGUAAAGCCUUGGCCAUUUUUGACCGUUUUUUUGCGCGAACCGUUGUGCACCCCGAACGAGCCUCACCCGACCCCUAGGCCCUGGGCUUUUUUUAUGUGUCAUACUGGGUGCAAUAUAGAUGGGUUUCCACACCUAUCCGCGGGCUAUCAUCGGCGUUAAAAAUAGGUUGCACAAGAUCAAAGAAACACAACUAGUCCAUGGGAAGAAAAGUAUUGGGACGAAAAUAAAAACUCAGUCUGGGCAUCUCCGAGCGGUUCUUGUGGGAGAAAACUUUAAUAUUGCUCAGAAUGAGGCCUCCUAGUAGUUAUGUGUGAAUUUUCGAGACGUUUCUCACAUGGUUAAAAAUCGGCCGAUUUUCGGUAUGGUAAAGCCUUGGCCAUUUUUGGACCGUUUUUUGGCGCAACCGUUGUGCACCCGAACGAGCCCCACCCGACCCCUAGGCCCUGGGCUUUUUUU
rnacentral:lncRNA from 1 species